CUUAAUCUACUGAACCACCAGGCACCCUGUAGAAUUAUUUCUUUUCCUAAAGAGGGAAGUCUUGGGAAAGAAAUCAGGGGGUCCUGGGGGUUUACUGAAUUCAUCCCAGUAUAUUGCUAGCACAAACGGGUUUUGCAUAAGCCAAAGCGAUCACUUAAUUGUUCUGAACAACUUCUAUACUGCAGGAGUUAAUAAACAUAGUGUUAAGAACUGUUUAAGGUCAAGACCACCAGCAGUGCCACAUUCCUUGAAAACGGCAGGAUGAAUGUAUGAGAGUCCUUUGCUUUUAUGGAGAAUGCUAAGGCAGUGGGGGUAGUUUAGUCAUUGUGCUUCCUGAAGGAUGAGUGCUUGUGGUAUGCAUUUCCAUUUGGGAGUGAGGAAGUAUAUUCAUUUCCUUUGGAAGAUUAAAUUUUGUCCUUUGUUUCCAGUCUUUUAUUCCAGUUGGUCUGCAUUUACUGUUGCCCGGUAAAUGUUCCAAAUAAAUUUCUUCUAGCAAGUUAACCUCUAUUUUAAAACAUCAGAGUCUAUUGUCUAAGUCAGUAUAUCCAAAUAUGAGGCUUCUAGAUACUUCUAUCCCUUUUGCCCACAUCCUGUGUGGAGUGCCUUACUCAGCCUCUCCAUUUGCUGAUUCAUGGAUGUCCAGCUCAAGGCUCAUUUCUUACAAUGUCUUGUCCUCUGAUUGCUACAGGUAUUUUAAGCAUUGCCUUUCUGACAAGAAUGAAACCUCCUGAGGGCCAGGGGCCAGGGGUCUUUGCUUUAUAGAGGCCAUAUCAAAUGAUUUUGUGCGUGUGAUGAUUAACUUGAUUCAUUUUGAGACAUUGUGUUUCCUAAGAAGAAUUAUUUUUAAUCUGAGCAAUUUACUUAAAAUUUUAAUCUGUUUCUAAUUUCAUACAGACUUCAGGAGAUACUUCAGCAAGACCCUGUAGGGAAAGAUACUUCCUUAAAAACAUUUGAGGGAUUACUGAAAAUUUAGAAAGACAUAACUAACUCUAAAGGUAUGGCUGGGUGGAAUGGUUCCUUUUAAUGUGAAGAGUCUGAGGUUUUCUUUUAGCUAGAAGGAACAUACUUAAGUGCAUAAUUACAGGAAGUUUUGUUUUUAGUCAUGGAAAUCACAGAAAAAUUAUUUUUCUAGUGACUCCUGUUAUUUUCAUUAAGUACAUCCAAGUGUCCCUGAAAUUAUGUGGUGCAUUUUAGAUUUGGAAAAUGUGAUGUGACAGUACGGAUGGCAGAUUUUGAGGCUGCUCACGUUUUGUGUUCAUUUUAAUUUGAAAUGUUGGCUGCUGAAAAGGAGUAUGUGUCAGAGUGGUUGGUGUGAACUAAAAUGUUGCAUUGGCAUUUUGUGGCAAGUGGAGUACCAAGACUCCAUACCGUUCAUGUUCGUUAUUAAAUAUUAUUUGAAGUAUCUCAUUUUACAUCUAGGCAUUACGUUCAUUUAGGCACUGAUUGAUUUUAACAGUUUUUAUGAUCAGAUGGGAGAAUGUGGGCUGAACUAUAAAUAGAUUCCCUCAGCUGUAUAAUUGAUGUCAUCAAAAAAGGUAGACCCAUAAAGUUGAAAAGCUUCUUCAAAAUACUGACCUGUUCUUUGUGGCUGUUAGGACUUGGAGGAGUGCAUUCUGGCCAGGGUUCAGUGGCUGGCAGUGAUUGAGGUGGAAUGAAGGCAGCUAGAAUGGGGUGGCGUGGAAGUGGGGCCAGGUUACAGAUACUGGUCAGCUGGGGGGAUCUGGUAACUCUGGAUGUGGGUAUUGGGGUGGUAAGAAAGGACAGGGGUGAGUUGUGGCCUUCUUGGCUUGGGUGACUCAGGAGGUCAUGUCACUCACCACGAAAGGGAAUGUAGAAGAAAAAUCAGAUUUGGGAAGGAAGGUAAGUUCAGACAACCUAUUGACUGCAGGCCAUCAAUAAAAACAGAAUGAAUGAAUCUGGGUGUAGUUUUUUGAACUGUCUGCAGGGCAUCAGUGUUUCCCAGGCUUUUCCAAAAAUAAGAUAGAGGAGGUAGACCUGAUCUGGGGAAAGAGCUUUGGGAUUUGUUGAGGCCUGGGAGGAGGAGGACCCAGGCAAGGAGGACACGCUGGAAUUUAAAGGGUAAGGGUGUGUUCCCAGCCAUAAGUAAAGUGAGUGGCUGGGGAGGUAGGAAGAAAGCCAGGGGAGUGGAGUCCUAAGAGUCCAGGAGGAGCCCACCUCAGGAAUAAGGACUUGGUCAGGACAAGUGGAGCAUACAGAAAAGCCAGGGAUCCAGGGACUGAAGUUGAGCCAGGAGGAGACUCUGGAGACCUUGAGGAGUGUCUCUUCAGUGACUUGAGAGGCAGUCUGAUUCCAGAAGGAGGAAGAAUGAAUAGUUGUGGAGGAGACUGCUCUUCCAAGGCAUGGCUGGGAAGGAAAGCACCGUGCCCUAAAAUGAGGCCGUGGGGUAGAGGGAGUCGUUGGUGUGUUGUCAUCAUUUUUAGAUGAGACACUUGAGGAGAAAGAAAGCCCAUGGGUGUUGGAAGAUACAGGUGAGGGAAAAGGUUCCUUGAAGGAGAUGGCUGGCUUGGCAGCAGAAGGAAUGGUGUUCGGACCAGAAAUGGGGAAGGACUGCUUAGGAAGAAGAUGGCUCCUCUCGGAGAAGAGGGGAGGGGUUAAGUCUGGAAAACACGCUCCUGGUAUAGGUGAUGGAGACUAGGAGUUCGAGUCGAGGCAAAUGGGGACUGAUUGGGCGGGCGGGGGUGCGGCUGUGUGGCGAGAAAGCCACGGGCCCAGAGACAGAAAAAUAAAUAAACUAGCAGGAGGGUGGCGGGGCUGGAGGACCAGGUGACCCUGUGGGUGGAGCGGAUGGGGAAGGACACACCUAUGGGUGUGGUGAAAGGCUGGGAGAGGGCGCGGGCCCUGAAAGGGCCUUCCUCGCUUGCCAGGCUGAGUGAGAUUGUUGGAUUUUAUUUUCUGGGUUGUGGAGAAAGAGAGGGA